rnacentral:rRNA from 1 species
CUACGGGGGGCUCCAGUGGGGGAUAUUGCACAAUGGGCGAAAGCCUGAUGCAGCAACGCCGCGUGAAGGAAGACGGUUUUCGGAUUGUAAACUUCUAUCAGCAGGGAAGAAAAUGACUGUACCUGACUAAGAAGCCCCGGCUAACUACGUGCCAGCAGCCGCGGUAAUACGUAGGGGGCAAGCGUUAUCCGGAAUUACUGGGUGUAAAGGGUACGUAGGCGGCUGAUCAAGUCAGAUGUGAAGGCCCGGAGCUCAACUCCGGGACUGCAUUUGAAACUGGUCGGCUAGAGUGCAGGAGAGGAAAGUGGAAUUCCUAGUGUAGCGGUGAAAUGCGUAGAUAUUAGGAAGAACACCAGUGGCGAAGGCGGCUUUCUGGACUGUAACUGACGCUGAGGUACGAAAGCGUGGGGAGCGAACAGGAUUAGAUACCCCCGUAGUC